CCCGAGCCCUGGGGAAGAAUCCCGGGACUCGGCGAUGAAGCCUCUGCCUUUUCUGUUUAAAGGUGUCACCAGGGUAGCCUUCAGCAAUGGCCGAGGAGUUGCGCCCAGGCGUGCCCCACGACGAUGGCGUCAGCCUCCGAGUGCGGCUGAAGCGUGCGGCCCCAGGAGCCGGGCAUUCUUGGGAAAAGAAUGAAGAAACAACAGGAAGUUGUUGAACAAGAGUGCCAGCAGGACCUUCCCAGCUGUCGAGGCAGCCUUCCUUUGCACCUGACACAGAC